CCUACGGGAGGCUGCAGUCGAGAAUCAUUGACAAUGGGCGAAACCCUGACCCUGCGACGCCGCGUGAGGGAAUGAAGCUCUUCGGUUUGUAAACCCCUUUCAUGGGGGAGCAAAUAGAGAAGGUAGUACCACAACAGGCAGAGACGGCUAACCCGGUGCCAGCAGCCGCGGUAAUACAGAGGUCUCAAGCAUUCUCCGGAAUCACUGGGCGUAAAGGGGGAGGAGGGUGUGACGCAAGUAGGGUGAGAAAGUCGCGGGCUCAACCCGCGGACGGCACCGGAAACUGCGCGUCUUGAGUGAUGGAGAGGGAACCGGAAUGCGCGGUGUAGCGGUGAAAUGCGUAGAUAUCGAGAGGAACACUCGUGGCGAAGGCGGGUUCCUGGACAGUAACUGACGCUGAGGCACGAAGGCGAGGGGAGCGAAAGGGAUUAGAUACCCUGGUAGUC
rnacentral:rRNA from 1 species